rnacentral:rRNA from 1 species
UAGGGAAUCUUCCGCAAUGGGCGAAAGCCUGACGGAGCAACGCCGCGUGAGUGAUGAAGGUCUUCGGAUCGUAAAACUCUGUUAUUAGGGAAGAACAAAUGUGUAAGUAACUAUGCACGUCUUGACGGUACCUAAUCAGAAAGCCACGGCUAACUACGUGCCAGCAGCCGCGGUAAUACGUAGGUGGCAAGCGUUAUCCGGAAUUAUUGGGCGUAAAGCGCGCGUAGGCGGUUUUUUAAGUCUGAUGUGAAAGCCCACGGCUCAACCGUGGAGGGUCAUUGGAAACUGGAAAACGUGAGUGCAGAAGAGGAAAGUGGAAUUCCAUGUGUAGCGGUGAAAUGCGCAGAGAUAUGGAGGAACACCAGUGGCGAAGGCGACUUUCUGGUCGGUAACUGACGCUGAUGUGCGAAAGCGUGGGGAUCAAACAGG